UUCAACCGACACCAGUUCUCAGGUUUAUGGAUGAGUCGGUUUCUCCUAAUUGUCCAGGGAGACCUUCAUUUGGAACGCAGUGUUGAAGUUUAAAUUGAGCUGAAAGAGAGAAUUCUUCUUCCUGCAAAGUAACCUUGGAGAGACAGCAAUUAUACAUAGGAUAUCUUUGGGUUAGUAUAUGCUCCAGAAUGCGGAUGAGAUUUCCUUUCAUAUCCCUUCUCUCCUUCCACAAAGAUAAUCACUCUCUCUGUCACCCAGAGAAGGGCUGAGCUCUUGAGCACAGUCCCUUUAUUUCACAGUUUUGCUUUUCCCUGCGUUACCAUGGUAACCUGGAUACCGUUCAGUCCCGUCUUCAGUGAGAGGCAGGCAGGCAGCCUUUGCAGGUGGCUGUGCUUUCAUGCAAAGAAUGCAACAAAUGCAGUUCCUUCCAAACAACUGACUCCCGCCUGCUUGCCUCUCCUUCAGUGGGUGUGUGAUCUUCAUUACUGGUGAUAUUAAAGUGGCUUUUGUUAAGGCUUAGGAUAACUAGCUGGUUGGGGAAAUUCAUGUUCGUACACAGGUCCAGAAAAACAAUCCAGCGGACUGGUGUGUCAUCCACCAUACGCACCCUCCUGGGUGGCUUGCAGGAGAGGAGACAUAGCCCUGGACAUGUCAUGUGACUGGCUGGGCUAAUGGGUCUGCACACUGAAACGUGACUGAUGGCAGCCUGGCUGGCUGAGUGAGUGACUGGCUAGCUGGCUGUGUGGAGGUGGCCUGACGGUGUUAGCAGGUUGGCAUUUAUUGGGAUGACUCAUGUACUGGAGGCAGCUCUGUAGUGUGGUCACUAGCUGACACAGCUAAAAGGUCAUAAAAUCGGAUUUUAUGUACCUAACCCUAACCUUAACCCUGUUUAACCUUACUGCUUACACUAAUGCAAACCCUAACUUUAAAGUAAGACCAAAAGGCAUUUUUAUUUUCAUAAAUGUUUACAAUAUAGCCAAUUUCGACUUUGCAGCUGACCCAUCUAGAGGAAACUGCUCAGUUAUGCCUCCAGGGCAAGACUCAUGGCAAUAAAUGUCAUGGAGAGCUGAGAUGACAGAAAACACAUUCUGUUUUUCAUUAAAGCUUCUUAAGGAUCGGCGUUCCGUCAACGAGACAGUUGUAAAUCAUACAGCGCGUUAUGUCAAGAUUGCAGAUUUUAGAGAAACAACAAAUGUCGGUACAUAUAAGUGUCUUAUAUCGGCUGAAAGCUUAAAUUCUUGUUAAUUUAACUGCACUGUCCACAUUACAGUAGAUGUUACCACGAAAAAAUGCCAUGUUAUUGUUUGAGGGGAGCUCCUAACAACAAAACACUUUUUUUCACAGCGAUAGGUUUGAUAAAUUCACCUCUGAAGGUGAAAUGUGUACUUACAUUCUGAAAUCUUGCUCUGAUUUAUCAUCCAAUGGGUCCCAGAGAUAACAUGAAGUGUCGUUUUGUUAGAUAAAAUCAUUUUUCAUAUCCUAAAAAGGUCCAUAUAUACCAUGAACGGUUGAUUUUGUAUUUCCACUCGUUCAAUUUGCAAAGAAAGGAAUCUGUGAAAAUUUCACCCUAAACAUUGUUUCAACGAGUCAAAUCACGUUCGUAUCUAUUCCUCAGAGAUCCUAGAAGUUAACAAGACUUCACUAUUUCAUUAGGGGUGCAGUAUAUCCUCUAGGACACCAUAUUUGGUCAGAGAGCAAUGCGUUCAUAGCACUCCAAUGACGCGGGUAGCCAUCACUUGAACGACUGUAUCUUUGUCAAAUAAGCACCAAUCAGGGUCAAACAAAGCUAGCUAGAUAGCCAAUGAGCUGGGCUUUACGGGAGUAUCCGUCUUAAGUAUAUGUCUUAAAAUGUAGCUACUAACCAUGUACAACAGCAUGUCUUUUAAUUUUGGACAAAAAUUAUAAGGAUAUUCAGAGUUAUGAAGUUAUGAAAAUUGGUUGUUUUGCAAAUGUUGGACUUAUAAUAUGGCUAAUAAUAUUUGGAAAGCUAAAUCAAAGUAUACAGAUUUGACAAUAUUCUUGCAGAAAAAUGGAAUAUGAAUGCGAAUGUCUCCUUCGCGAUUUGCCCAAAUGUACUUGGGGACUUCACACUAAAAGUCUUGUUGUUUACUCAUACUUCAAGUUAUCCAUCUGAAACAUUUUGUAAUGUGUCAAACAGCAUUGAGAAAUGUGCCAGCCGAUGCCACCUUAAGUUAUGUCUGAAAUAAAGCUGUUUUCUGUCACACGCUGA